UGCUCUCCGAUGCUUUUCUGUGCUUGAAGAGGUCCUUGUGUCCAGUUUCACACAUCACAGCCCCUCACACGACGGAGGAGCAGUGCUGGUGUCUGUGAUUUGCAGCACCGGGACUUGAUUUCUCCAGAUGCUCGGAAGAGCCCAGCCCCGGGGGACAGCCGGCCGCUGUGGCGCUGAGCACUUCCUGUGGCGACAGUGCCUCCACCCGAACUCCGGGCCUGCGUGGAAGGUCCGAGCUGCCACCCCUCCCCACACCACGUCCUGCCGGGACAGCGGUGGGGCCUCCUGGCAGGCUGUGUCCAGCGUCCUGACACGUGGUAAGGGCUCCCAGUCAGGUGUGAACCGCGCAUGGGCUGCGUCCAUCCCGCUGCUGAUGGGCAGCGGGCCGCUUCCAAGGGUUAGCUGCUGCGAGCUGAGCCCCCGUGAACAUGGUGUGCUCGGUCACCGGGACGACUGCCUCUUUCGGGAAGACACCUGGAACUGCUCUGCCGUGCAGAAGGAUGCACCCGAGUCAUCUGUAGGAAAACGGAUGCACCUCGAGACCAUCCUGUGAAGUGAAAUAUGUCAGACACACAAGCUUCAAUAUCCCAGGUUCUCUUGUAUGAGCAGCCCAAAGUAUAAAUAAUGUAAAGAGCAGAAGAAAAGUAGCUAACAGGAAACGGGUUUAGACCUUAUGCCAAAGGAAAUGGGACGGAGAGACGGAGCGAGGGCGGGGAGCGGAGGGUUGAAGACGUGCUGUGCACAAGCGCCGGCCCGCGCUGGCGAUGAGGGAUCGCCGUGAACCCCGAACGGAAACAAGCCCCGCUGCAGCCCCCGUAGUACUGCGGACACUUCCGCCCUGCCUACCCUGCUCCCCAGCAGGCUUCCUGCAGCCAAAGCUCGGCCCAGCGUCUGUUUCCCGGGGACCGCAGUGCAAGACAACCUGCAGGCUGGCUGGAUUUCCAUGUCUAAUUACGCUCACCUGCACUGGGCCGGGCAGCGCUGCGAGGCCACUUUGUUCCCUUUUUGCACCAGACCUCCGCGGGGAGUUAUCCUGCCACUCCUCAGCUUCCCAGCUCUGGGCAGUGCUCAGCGGUGUCAUUUUUCUAUUAUUGCCUCUCGACAGCGCCGAUCCGGAGGCUCCUUGAAGCUUGGGUGUUGGCCUUGGGCGCGCAUGGGGAGCUGUCGGGCGGUCUGUCGGGGUUGCGGAGUGUGGGAGCCUGCUGUUCCCGAAGCCGGCGCUUAACCGGACUUGGAGCACUACAGGUGGAGAGAUAACGUGCCGAGCAGGCCUUCCCAGCCUCAGUAGAAGCCACCGGAGAGGCCCGGCAGCCCUGUCCAAGGCUGGCUCCUAACUCCGCCUUCACUCAGCUUCCCCUGCGUAGUUUAAGUCUUGGUUCCUGUCUUUGUGAAAUCUUCUCAGCCAGUAGAAUCGUUCUGGGACUCGGCUGACACGCUUAUGUUUUCACAAGUUCCACAUAUGCAUAGUUACAUCGGUUAAUAACGUCCACUCAUCAGUGCAGAAAUGUAUUUCAGGAAUACCAGCUAGACAUUCUAUUUCUUAACCUCAAAUACACAGUAGCAGAUAACGACCCUCUGGGAUGCAUGGCCGACUGCCCGCGUCUCACACAUCCCUGGGUGAGACCCGGUUCCAGCCCCGGUCUGCCCCUCCGGGUUCCCUUGGCCUCUGCUGAGCCCCUAAGGAUGCGGGUCAGAGUCUGUUCUGCUCUGCUCCACACUGUCCACUGGUUCCGCACCUGUCUGGUUUCCCAGUGACUGACCCCUCGUCCCCAGCUGCUUCAGCCACAUCGGCGCCCUCUGUUCCAGCCCCAUCCUGUACCCCGGGGGCCCCCUCCCAGCUCUCUGCUCGGCUCCUGCUUUCCUCUGAUCUUCGCCCGGUGGUUCCUCUCUUUAGUUUAUCCCUCCUCCCCUCUCAUAUGGCGACCACUACUCCCGCCCCACUCCUGACCCCAAGCCCUGCCCCUGCCUGCUCUGCUCUCUCUCACAUAGCACCUACCACCUUCCUCUGUACUCAGAGUAUUUACCCGGAAGCCAGUGGAGGUUAAGCCUAGGGCUUCUUCCUGCUUAGGUCCCUCAACCCUCACAUGGGUGUUUCUGUAGCAUAUUUCCACCAAGAGAGGUUGAGCCCAUUAUCUCUUUCCAUCCCAAUUUCCUAUCUUUUACACCUCCCUUGCACCUCAUGGUAUAGAAGUAGCUGUGAGCAUUUCUGAGGUAUGGCUAGGGAGAUGGAGUUCAAGUGUGUUAGCCAGCUUUCUGUCACUGUCACAAAAUGCCUGUGACAGUUAACUUACAAAGAGAGAAGGGUGUUUCAGUUCACAGUUCUGGAAGUCCCUUCCCUGGCCGACUGGCCCGUAGGUUCUGUGCUGCUUAUUUAGUGUCUGUCCCUUCCCCUUGCCCACAGAGGGUGGGCACCCCAAGAGCAGAAGGCCGAGUUCACAGAUGUGUCUCACACACUGCAUAGGUAGACACUCAGUGCACAUCGGGUGAGUGAAUGGAUUAAGUGACAUUACCCCCAACAGUUGAGGUUGAUCUACUUUGGUCUUGCUCACGAAAGGCUAGUAUGAAUGUAUUGGAACUGAAAAGUAAAAGUAAUGCCAAGGGGAGAGUGGGAAUGCUGUGGAGCGUGAACAACACUUCCUCUUAAAUCCCUGGGCUCAGGAUGCUGAUGCUCCUAUUCCUGGUGUCUCUUCAGUGCUCACUAGCUGCCAUGUUUCAUGAGGACCUGGACCAUUCAUGUCAGGCUGUGCAGUUUCUUCCUUCCACAUUGACCAGGUAGCAUCACACUACUCCAGGGCGAGGGUUUCAUUCUGAAGCAGGAGGCUGCUCAGAGAGCUGACACAGGAGCUGGUUUUUCUUGGGCCAUAGAUGAGGCAGCAGUAGGAUGAAGGUGGACUCUUUUUCACUUCCUAUAUUUAGUCAAUCGUAGAAAUGCUGUUCAGAGAGCUGUCUUUGUUUGAGCACUAGACAUUAGAUGUUAGAGUCCUCAUGGCAGGAGGGACAUGUACACAUAUUAAUUUAAAAUGGACAUGUGGACAUGUUUCCAUAAAGCUUAGAAGCUCGAGGCAAGCCUUAAGAAAAGCAGAAUCCCACAGAAUCUGGAUACUUUAGUUUUGGACAGUUUUAUUUUUGUGGACAGAUAGCAGAAACAGUGCACAAACGGCUAGUGGAUGGCAGGCUUUCCCCAUGUAAACACCUACACUUUGCUUAACCAUUAAAACACCUUUUAAAAAAUGUCCUCUGAGCACUUUUGGAAUUGUAGCCAAUUUUUAUUCCUGUUUCUGGAGGACGCAUCUCAGGACACAAUGGGAGGUCUUCUUCCAGUCCCGUGAGCUCAGCCAAGAGGCUUGGUGCUGACCACGUCCUCGGCAUCCUGUGGUACCCACACAGCACGGAGCACAACGCAGCUGCCCACGCUCCGACCCUACCUCCACGCGCAACAGCAGUGAGUUCUCCGCCCUGAGCUUUCGCAGCCUCACCAGCUUUACAGAGCGCAUGCUUCGGGCAUGCCCACUUCUGUUGGCCCGGUCCGUCUGCCUGUUGUCUCAGCUUUGCUCCAGACUGAGCCCGAAGAGAUGCUUCAGACCGACAUGUGCAUUUGGAAUGGAUGCCUUUCCCCGACUGUUAUGUGAUAAAUCUGCCAACCUGAAUUUCCUUUCUGUGAGUCACAAGAUGAGCUCGACACAGAAUUUAAACAUGGAUCAGAUGCCCCUCACGUGAUCUUGCCUGAUGGUUUUGAAGACAGACAAAAUGAGUACUCAGAAAUGGUAAAGGCACUGGAGAGACCUCCGUUUAUAUCAGUAAAAAAGAUUUCGGGUCUAGCAGCUUGGCUCCACAGGACAGUGUGAUGGAAAGGGUGAGUUUACCGUCUGUUGAGGACUCCAGAUGUUUUCCAGGUUAGGAGAAGCUGAUUUAGGCAACGACACCCUAAAGCUGUUUGCAGAAGGUCAGUCAUUUGCCGGUCUGUCAGCCGAGCCUUGGCGGAGUAUUAACUGUGGACCCUGUCCUACUUGCAUCUCAACCUCCGUGCUGUUUAUGUUUGAAAAUCCGUUGGCAGUGGGGCCUGGCUUGGAUGAGUCAGGAUUGGGCUCCUUUUGCCCCUAUACCAGGAAGUCUUUGGUGGUCUUCAGUGGAGGGGAUGCUGUAGGUCCCUGGGAGUCCGAGUCUUGGUCAGGGGCACAGCAGGGUCUUUCCGCACUCACUGCGGGCCAGGCCAGCAGGUUUGUCUCAGGUGCCCACACCUGUGCCUCUUUUCCAGACAAUUGGGGUGUUUCUCAGGCAGAGGCAGCUUGUCCAGGGUCUUCAUUUGGGGCCUUUGUCGUGCACAAAAGACACCCCGGACACCCCGUUGUUUAUGUGCCCGAGUGCACCAGCCUUUUUGUCCCAAACUCACUCUUUCUGCUCCCUCCC